AGUAACUCCAAUCAUUUUACAGAAGGUAAAAACAAUGUUGUUACUUCUGAGGUUGAUUUAAAAUCUUUGAUUUAAUUAAUGAGAAUGAGAUUUUAAUAUCAUGACUGAUAAUGGAUUACUGUAUAUUGCAACGCCUGGACAUACACAUGGUUUGGAUAUACUGAAGACAAAAGGAAUAAUAUAUGGGAAUGGAUAAGGCUGAUUUCCCCCUAUCCACAGCCACGCCUACUCCUAAAGUAACAUCGCGUACAUCCUUACUAUGCCCUUUUACUGUAGAAUUUCCUGAAUCCUAAUGACCCAUUCCACUACAUGGUGUGACUUGUUUAAGCCUAAGAUAAAUUGGCUGAUCAGGCUACCUGUAUUAACAAUGUCAUCAACGAUGAGUUAGCAUCUGUGGAGAAGCAUCACUUCAGGUUGUCCCAAAUUUUCUUUUAACUUAAGUUUUAGUACAUAGUAAGGCCCAUGCCCAACAACUAUAUGCAGCCUUGUAUAGCAGGCCACAUGACAUCUAUUUGUACCAAGCAAGGCCUGCCUGACUCCUCAUUCCUGCCUAACAUUGUUGUCUCCUGCAUAAGUGUAGAUGGCUCUCUUUGGAGUAGCCUGUUAACUAAGCCUUGCUUUGUGGUUACUUUCACCUGUCCAAUUAAUCUGCUAGGUGCAGAUGUCCUUCCCCCACUUGCAGGCCCCUAUCACCUUAUUAUUUAUUUUGUUCCACACAGUGAAACCUGACCAAGAGGCAAGGGUCCUAGCUAGUUCCCCCAAUACCUUUACCUGAAUUAUACAGGCCCCAAAGCCUGUCCAAGCUCUUACUAUUCCCUAACAGGUUAAGGCUCUGGUGUCGAAUGGUGCCCCGGUUACCUGAGACUUUCCAUGCAAUAUCCCACCUCUCCUUGUGAUGGACGAAUUCUGUGCAGGAUAAUGUCACCCUGCAGGGAUGAUACUCUAUUUACCUGGCCACUCUUCUGCCACUUCCCAAGGGGGGAAAUGAUAAGACACUGACUAUUAUUUUUUUUUAGCCUUUUUCUUAUGUUCUGUUCCGGAUUUGCUGUCACUACAGUGGACCAAGUAUCUCACCUCAACAAUGUCUGCACAAGAAGCUGAGCUAUAGGCUCCCAUCACAGCAUGCAAGAUCUCUGAAGGAAGACUGAAC